AUGAGGCUUAGGGUUCAAAAUACUGAGACUCUCCAUCUUCGCGAUAAACACAAAACGAACUUUUCCUCUCUUUUCUUUCAAAGAAUGGAGGCAUUAUCUUCCUCUGCCCUUUCCGAUCUAAAACAUUGUUGCUACAGCCAUCGUCUUCAUUGCAACGCAUCGCCUCCAUUUAUGUCGUCCUCAUCUUCAUCUACCUCACGACCUCGUCCUAAUCCGCUCCGUCGUGCUUUGGGUUUCGCUCAUCCUGUCCUCAAGCCUCCGUCUCUGUUCGAAUCAAUGUUAGAACAGUACAAAGGCUUCAAUCGAAGCUCCGACCGAAACUACAACUUAGGGAUUCACGAUUUAGCAACGACGACGAGAAUUCAAGGAAGAAACAAAAUCGAAGCAAAUUCAAGCUAG